rnacentral:rRNA from 1 species
AUACGGAGGGUGCAAGCGUUAAUCGGAAUUACUGGGCGUAAAGCGCACGCAGGUGGCUAGGUCAGUCGGAUGUGAAAGCCCUGGGCUCAACCUGGGAAUGGCAUUCGAUACUGCAGAGCUAGAGUAUGGUAGAGGGAAGUGGAAUUUCCGGUGUAGCGGUGAAAUGCGUAGAUAUCGGAAGGAACACCAGUGGCGAAGGCGACUUCCUGGGCCAAUACUGACGCUGAGGUGCGAAAGCGUGGGGAGCAAACAGGAUUAGAAACCCCGGUAGUCC